UACGUAGGCAGCGAGCGUUGUUCGGAAUUACUGGGCGUAAAGAGUGUGUAGGCGGUGCUCUAAGUUUGGUGUGAAAUCUCCCGGCUCAACUGGGAGGGUGCGCCGAAUACUGAAUGACUUGGAGUGCGGGAGAGGAAAGUGGAAUUCCUGGUGUAGCGGUGAAAUGCGUAGAUAUCAGGAGGAACACCGGUGGCUAAGGCGGCUCUCUAGUACGGGUACUGACGCUGAGACGCGAAAGCGUGGGGAGCGAACAGG
rnacentral:rRNA from 1 species